rnacentral:tRNA from 1 species
AUUUAAAUAGCUUAUAAAUUUAGAGCAUAAUAUUGAAGAUAUUAAGGAGAUAUAAUUAUCUUUAGAUA